CCCAGGACCCUUCAGUCUGCAGGCCGAUGGGCCAAACCAGCCAGGGCAGCGUGUAACUUGGUAGAGUUACAGAAAGAACACAAGCUCUAAAGUUAGAAGACCUGGGUUUGAACCCCAGCUUCUCAGGUUCCUUACCUACCUGGCCUUCUUCUCUAGGCUUCACUCUCUCCUUAUAAUUAUACUUUAUUAGCUCACAAUGUAGCUGAGGGUAAAUUGUAAACUACAAAGCACCAUAUCCAAUUUAUAAAGUAUCAUCAUCAUCAUGUCCUUUAUAAAUCAAGAUGGCCAAGCCCUGGACUGUGGCUAUUGUAAGGAUUUACCAGAAUUACAUCUUUUAGGAUUGGCCUCUGCCGCCCACAUCUAACAUAAUACAUGCAAGGGCUUAGCCAAGACAAAUUCCUGAAAAGAACACAAUGCAACAGAAGAGGUUCACAAAGUCCUGUGAGUUUGGGUUGGAGAUUACAUCCUGUUGCGUUGUUAGCAACAGUUGGCAACCAACCUGAAGAGAGAAAAAAAGAAGCGAUGAAAAUGUCAAGCUCCUCCAACAGAUAUGUCAUUGAAUGAGUUGGAGUAGACCAGGACAUCGUGUUCAGCAAUAAAGGCCAGGAGAUUUGGCCACCUCUUGUACCAAAUUA